rnacentral:rRNA from 9 species
UGGUGGGUAGUUUGACUGGGGCGGUCUCCUCCUAAAGAGUAACGGAGGAGCACGAAGGUUGGCUAAUCCUGGUCGGACAUCAGGAGGUUAGUGCAAUGGCAUAAGCCAGCUUGACUGCGAGCGUGACGGCGCGAGCAGGUGCGAAAGCAGGUCAUAGUGAUCCGGUGGUUCUGAAUGGAAGGGCCAUCGCUCAACGGAUAAAAGGUACUCCGGGGAUAACAGGCUGAUACCGCCCAAGAGUUCAUAUCGACGGCGGUGUUUGGCACCUCGAUGUCGGCUCAUCACAUCCUGGGGCUGAAGUAGGUCCCAAGGGUAUGGCUGUUCGCCAUUUAAAGUGGUACGCGAGCUGGGUUUAGAACGUCGUGAGACAGUUCGGUCCCUAUCUGCCGUGGGCGCUGGAGAACUGAGGGGGGCUGCUCCUAGUACGAGAGGACCGGAGUGGACGCAUCACUGGUGUUCGGGUUGUCAUGCCAAUGGCACUGCCCGGUAGCUAAAUGCGGAAGAGA